UACGAAGGGGGCUAGCGUUGCUCGGAAUCACUGGGCGUAAAGCGCACGUAGGCGGAUUGCUAAGUCAGGGGUGAAAUCCUGGAGCUCAACUCCAGAACUGCCUUUGAUACUGGCGAUCUUGAGUCCGGGAGAGGUGAGUGGAACUGCGAGUGUAGAGGUGAAAUUCGUAGAUAUUCGCAAGAACACCAGUGGCGAAGGCGGCUCACUGGCCCGAUACUGACGCUGAGGAGCGAAAGCGUGGGGAGCGAACAGG
rnacentral:rRNA from 1 species